rnacentral:rRNA from 1 species
UACGGGGGGAGCAAGCGUUGUUCGGAUUUACUGGGCGUAAAGGGCGCGUAGGCGGCCAGUGCAAGUCAGUUGUGAAAUCUCCGAGCUUAACUCGGAAAGGUCAACUGAUACUGCUCGGCUAGAGUGCGGAAGGGGCAACUGGAAUUCUUGGUGUAGCGGUGAAAUGCGUAGAUAUCAAGAGGAACACCUGCGGCGAAGGCGGGUUGCGGGGCCGACACUGACGCUGAGGCGCGAAAGCCAGGGGAGCAAACGGG